CCGCACGGGUGAGUAACACGUAUCCAACCUGCCGUCUACUCUUGGACAGCCUUCUGAAAGGAAGAUUAACACAAGAUGGCAUCAUGAGUCCGCAUGUUCACAUGAUUAAAGGUAUUCCGGUAGACGAUGGGGAUGCGUUCCAUUAGAUAGUAGGCGGGGUAACGGCCCACCUAGUCUUCGAUGGAUAGGGGUUCUGAGAGGAAGGUCCCCCACAUUGGAACUGAGACACGGUCCAA
rnacentral:rRNA from 1 species